UAGAUACCCUGGUAGUCCACGCCGUAAACGAUGGAUACUAGCUGUUGGGUUGCAAGACUCAGUGGCUAAGCGAAAGUGAUAAGUAUCCCACCUGGGGAGUACGAACGCAAGUUUGAAACUCAAAGGAAUUGACGGGGGCCCGCACAAGCGGUGGAGCAUGUGGUUUAAUUCGAUGAUACGCGAGGAACCUUACCAAGGCUUAAAUGUAGAUUGACAGGUUUGGAAACAGACUUUUCUUCGGACAAUUUAC
rnacentral:rRNA from 1 species